GACGAACGCUGGCGGCAUGCCUAAUACAUGCAAGUCGAGCGAACAGAUGAAGUGCUUGCACUUCUGACGUUAGCGGCGAACGGGUGAGUAACACGUAAGGAAUCUACCUAUAAGCGGGGGAUAACAUUCGGAAACGGGUGCUAAUACCGCAUAAUAUCUUCUUCCGCAUGGAAGAAGAUCGAAAGACGGCUCUGCUGUCACUUAUAGAUGACCUUGCGGUGCAUUAGUUAGUUGGUGGGGUAAUGGCCUACCAAGACGAUGAUGCAUAGCCGACCUGAGAGGGUGAUCGGCCACAUUGGGACUGAGACACGGCCCAAACUCCCACGUGAGGCAGCAGUAGGGAAUCUUCCGCAAUGGGCGAAAGCCUGACGGAGCAAUGCCGCGUGAGUGAAGAAGGCCUUCGGGUCGUAAAACUCUGUUAUAAGAGAAGAACAAAUUGUAGAGUAACUGCUACAGUCUUGACGGUAUCUUAUCAGAAAGCCACGGCUAACUACGUGCCAGCAGCCGCCGUAA
rnacentral:rRNA from 1 species